CAAAAUGAUGGUCAAACUCUUGCUUAUCAAGUGCUCCUUCCUUUAUACAAAAUCUGUGAGUGAUUUGCUGGGAACGUUCUCUAUGAUGAGACGAGACGAAACAAUUUACACAAGGGGUACGGGCUAGCAUCAAAGGCGAAAUCCGGGUACAAACUUUUAACAAAAUUUUAAAUUUGACCGGGAAUAAUUCUAAGGUAAAAAGAGAUAAUAUUAACCGUUUCAAUUAGGGGUAAUAUGGUACUUUGUUAUUUGUUAUUUUUGGAAUCCAUUAACAUUUAUUUCCGUUUAAUGGAUAACGUGGAAAGUGCAGAGCUGCAAAGUUUGGUACAAAUGGUGGGGAUCCCGUUCCUGUCAAGUGCAAAAGAUAGCUAGCAUCGUGUUGGUCGUGAACUUUUUGGAAUAAAAUUGAAUAUUGAUUGGCCAUUAAAAAAAAUCUUGGUCAAUUAUAGGUGAAAUUCAUAUACAUGAUUUAUUAGCAUUUUGGUAGGUGUACAGAAUUAACAUAAUAGUGUUGAAUUGGUGGGUGGAGAUGGAUGGAAUCCUCCUUAUUUUACUGUUCGCGUUGAAACGGACAAACGGUACUGGUUGAAAUGGUACGCGUCGAAACGGUACGGGUCGAAACGGCUCGCGUCGAAACCCGUCUCGGUCCGAAACAAAAUUAUUUUGUUGGAUUAUUCCUUCAGGUGGUGGUGGUGUUUUUGCUGAUGCUGCACCAGCAGCCGCUGCACCAGCAGCCGCUGCACCAGCAGCCGCUGCACCAGCAGCCGCUGCACCAGCAGCCGCUGCACCAGCAGCCGCUGCACCAGCAGCCGCUGCACCAGCAGCCGCUGCACCAGCAGCCGCUGCACCAGCAGCCGCUGCACCAGCAGCCGCUGCACCAGCAGCCGCUGCACCAGCAGCCGCUGCACCAUUCUUCUCAAGAACAAGAAAACAAACUUUUUCUUCCUGUAGUUACAAAACAACAGAUAGAUAUGAGAGAUUUGACAUUGAAAUGGAAAUUGAAUUGUUUUGUGAUUUGAUGAUUUAGGUCAAAUAGUUUAUAAGAAGCUGAAGGAGAGGUCAGGGGAGUAUAUGGCACGAGGUUGUGUUAGAAGUGAGGAAAGUAAGACGAGUCCAUUGGUGGAGCCGACGUCGUUUUGAUCGGCGAUAUACCAAUCUGGCAGCUCUAUGCACCGAGGCUGCACUCCAAUGCAUCAGAGAGAAAACGGACGUGAUCGAUUUGGAAGACGAGUCCAUCGAUGCGGAAAUUCUUAACUUCAUGACAGUUACGAAUGAGCAUUUUCAGACCGCCCUCGGGACCAGCAAUCCUUCUGCUCUUCGUGAGACUAUUGUCAAAGUUCCGAACGUUAGCUGGGAAGACAUCGGUGGACUCGAGAAUCUUAAACUAGAUCUACAAGAGCUGUGUAGACUGUUCAAUAUUCUGUCGAACAUCCCGUGAAAUUUGAGAAGUUCGGUAUGCUUAGGGGUGUGAAUUUCUCACACAUGUCAAACUUAACACGAUACGUGGGCUUGUGUUUGGCCUAAACGGGUUUGGGACUUUGGGUCAGCAUCAGACUUUUAUUCGGACCUGUAUUGGUUGGAUUUAUGCUGGUAAAGGUUCCGGGUUAUACGUUUGGGCCGGUUAGCUUAUGAAGACUCAGUUCUGGUACCCUAUUCAGACUCAAGGGGACCGGGUUUUGGCUGUUAUAUAAUGUGUCGUAAAAUGCUGAAGGACAGGGAUGUGCUUCUGUGUUUGGCUGCAAGAAGUGGGCUCCGCCAACAGUUGUACGUAGCAAGUCCCAAGCUGAUUUGUCUGAAGAUUAUUGUCAAAUUGGAACUUUUGCAGCUGCUGAUUGAUUCCGAAAAUUAGCUUUGCAUUGUAUAUUCUCAAAACAGUAUCGUUUUGCCCCAUUGUAAAUCUAUUUAUUUCUUUUUUGAAUUCAGGGUUCAUUUUUUA